rnacentral:lncRNA from 1 species
UUCCAUCUAAUCUAAAUAUCAAGUAAUACACAUCCAUCUAAUCGACAACAAUUCGACAAUUCAACAACAAUCAAAAUACUAUAAUUGAGAGUGUAAAAACUACUUGAAUAUAAUCAAGGGUCUCCAAGAGAAGACGUCAAGUUCCUACGUAGAAGCAACUGCAAGCAUGCGAUUCAUCUGUUCUGCAUCGUACACAACGGCAAGCAAAGGAUCAAUAAGCUAUUCAACUUUCCUUUUUGAUCAGAGGU